GACGAACGCUGGCGGCGUGCUUAACACAUGCAAGUCGACGACGCUACUGAGUAGCAAUAUUUAGUAGUGGAGUGGCGCAAGGGUGAGUAAUGUAUACGUAACCAACCCAUCGGAGACGGAUAACAUUUCGAAAGGGAUGCUAAAACGGCAUGAAGCCACGAUUUCGCAUGAGAUUGUGGUUAAAGAACCGGUAACAGGUUGCCGAUGGCUGGGCGUAUAUCCGAUUAGCUAGUUGGUAGUGUAAUGGACUACCAAGGCGACGAUCGGUAGCUGGUCUGAGAGGAUGAUCAGCCACACUGGCACUGGGACACGGGCCAGACUCCUACGGGAGGCAGCAGUGGGGAAUAUUGGGCAAUGCCCGCAAGGGUGACCCAGCAACGCCGCGUGGAGGAUGAAGGCCGUAAGGUUGUAAACUCUGACAAGCAGGGAAGAACGGCUAUGGUAAAAGGCCAUAGAAUGACGGUACCUGCCUGAAGCCCCGGCUAACUACGUG
rnacentral:rRNA from 1 species